UGAAAAUUAUGUGCCAGUCUAGGAAAUAUUUGGUAGACAUAAAUGUUUCUAAGCGGCAAUUAAAGGUGAUUACUGUCUCCGCCUUACAAAUUGCUUAAGGGCAUUCCAUAGGUUGGGUGCUGUCACCAAGAAGGUCUGCUUCCCUGUUGUCAUCAAGUGACAAUCGGCAGAGUCUCCUUCAAACAUCUACCAGGGAUCUGCUAGCUGGUUUGCUACAUACAGUAUUGGUGUUGUAUAGAAGGUGGGUUAUCUCUAGGAUGUAUAACCUCUGUACAGUGUCUUCUAAGUAACAGUGGUAGGAAACAAAAUGUUUUGUGAGUAGGUGAACGAAGGAAAGUUUCUGGGGGAGUGCCAGCAAAGAACUUAAAGCUAGGGCAGCAGGAAUUGGAGCCAAGUUUAGUCAUCAGAGUAUAAUAAGAGCCCUGCUGGAUCAGGCCACUGGUCCAUCUAUUCUAUUCCUCCAUUCUAAUCUUACAGUGGCCAACCAGAUGCUUAUAGGAAGUCAGAGUUGUAUAGUGCUGAACAUUUUUUUCCACUUUUCGGUCUUUUGUGGCAUCAUUUUUAACAGUUUGUAGCAGCAAACAGUGGGGCGUCACUUUCAUUCAAGUGGUGCUGUUCCAUGACAACCAAAAAAAGUAUACUUUCCACCUUCCAAGGAAAGUAAAAUGAAAGUAUUAGAUUUUAAAUACUACUGACGCUGUGCGACCUAUUAUGAAUCUCAAAAAUUAAUACAGUUCGGUACAGCUGCAUGAUUAUGAAAAGGCACCAUUAAUAUAGAGAGACCUGCCAGCGAUGCCUCAUUAAUGGAAGGUAAGCAUGUUGGAGGAUCCUUGGGUUUUAUUUCAGUGACUUUUUCCUUUCGCCUUUGUACUGCUGAACCUUGAAAAUGUAAAGAGCUUCAAGAAUUUUUGAAACAAAAACUCCUGACAGGGGUUAAGUGCUCAUUAAAAUUAAUAGGACUAGCAAAGGAGGUUGCUUCCAAGAAAACAAAAAUCUGGGAACAUUUUGGCCUGAAUAAUGACUGAUUUCACUAGUAAAUGGAGAGGUGAGCAAUACAAUAUUUUUCUGCAGUCUUACCCCUUUUUCGCUUAAGAAAAUAAAACUUUUUUUUUAAAAAAAGGUAUGAGGCAUAACCUCUCAAAUAUAAUUAAUUUUGAGUCUGGCACCCUGAUCCUAUAUAUUUGUAUAUGCUUAUCAAUGUACAAAUAUCCCAGAGGCAUUGGAAUAAUACUGAUUUGUUUAUUUUUUAAAAAAUGACAUGCCACUUUUCCCCUUGAGGUAGGUUCACCCAAAGCGGCUUACAAAUAUAGAAGCAAACAGAGACCCAAUAGCCAAAAUGCAAAAGAUCAAAGAGCCAUGCAAACACAGUGAAGCAUCAUUGAUACAUAAAAGUAUUUGUAGUCUCUCUGUUAUCAAGUCCAGGCCGGUUGCACCCCUGUAUAUGAUGGUCUAGAGGGAGGGCAACGCUAUGGUCGGUCUCUUUAGUACUGAGUGGGCUAUUUUUGGCUGCCAGGAGCACCAACUCCGUCAGGAGAGACGUUACCUUUUCUAAUUUGAUGUUAAUUUCCUCCACUGUUCUUGCAGUCAGCAGACAGUGGUCCGCGAGUAUUUCUGCAUAGAGCGGUGCCCCCUCAGACGGUAGUUCAUGGGAUAAUUCAUGAGCGCUCAUCUCAGCAUUCUCCCCUGGGUGAUCUCCACCCAUUAAAGCAUCCCCACCUACCUGGGAAUGAAUCCUAUUUGGUGUGGUAGAUUCUGAGUUCUGUGCUUUUACAAAAUCGUCCAUUUUGCUCUGCUUGCUCUUCUGUGGGCUCCCUUCUGGAGAUGAGGCCAGUCGUUUCUUUUUCCUAGGCAUUUUCCAGGGAUAGAGCCGCUGUAAAUCAGAGCAGCUUCUGCUGUAAAUCAGGAAGCUCUCUCUCUCUCUUUCUUAUGAAAGCCCUGUACAAUGGAACCAAACUGCAGGUCCGAUGCGGUCGACAGGGACAGCUAUCGAACAGCAUCGAGAUGACUAGGGGGGUGAGACAGGGUUGUAUUUUGGCCCCCACAUUGUUUUGUCUAUUCUUAAAUGACCUAGAAGAGAACUUAAUGGACCCAGAUGGACACAUUCCAAAAAUAGAAAUGAGAAGGACCCCUUUGUUGUUGUAUGCUGAUGACGCGGCCAUCAUCUCGCGUUACAGACCGGGCUUGAAUUAUCUGUUGAGGAAAUUUUCUGAUUACUGUUCUGGAAAUGGUUUAUCCAUUAAUUAUGAAAAAUCUAAAAUUUUAGUCUUCGAAAGAAGAUUCUCCCAGUCUAAAUGGGUGCUGGAUGGCCAUAACCUUGAACAGGUAAAAUACUUCAGUUACCUAGGGCUCACAUUCCAUCAUACAGGAUCUUGGAAGCACCAUUGGCAAACCUCCCUUCAAAAGGCGGAGAUUACAAAGCUAGCCAUACAUAGAUUCUUCUUCACAAAGGGCGGCAAAUAUGUUCCAGCAGCCUUAAGGGUUUUCAACGCAAAGCCCGUUUCCCAACUCCUGUAUGCAGCAAAUGUCUGGCAUAAUGGGGACCUGCCAAAGCUAGAUGGCUUUCAGGCAAAAUUUAUACGAUCUCUGCUGCAGGUACCUAACUGCGUCCCUAACUCCGUACUUCUGUUGGAAGCUGGUGAAUGCCCAAUUUCAGCUAGAGCGUGGUGGGCUGCCCUAAAACAUUGGCUCAGGAUUUCAGUGUUUAAUCUAGGGAAGGGUCUGUACCAACAUUUGACCAAUGAGGAAUUCGUCAGCAAAUGGUAGAAAACCAUGGCUAAAAAAGCCACCUCUAUUGGUCUGUCUCUCCCGCCCCCUCCACUGUAUUACCUGGGCUAUGAAGGCGCCCAAAAGGUUUUAAAGCAAAGAUUAUGGGACAAUGCACACAGUGACUUGCGAUCUCGGUCACACGCAGUCUGUAGUCCGCUGGCAGCAGGAGUUCAAUAUGGGUAUGUCUUUGAGUUAACAGCUUACAUCAAAAACCUAACAGUACCUAACUAUCGAAGGCUUUUCACCAAAGCCAGACUGAAUGUCUUCCCCUCUGCAGUGCUGGAUGGUAGGUUGAGAGGAGUUCCCUACCAGGACAGACUUUGCUCGUGUGCUCAAGACAUCGAUUCCAUAGAUCAUAUUUUGUUACAUUGUGCGAAGUAUGAGCAGGCCAGGGCUGAACUGAUACUACCCUUGCUGGUGCCUUUCCCAGGAAAGUCAGAGGCUCACUAUGUCAGGUUCCUACUGGAAGACCGGACAAAAGCUAGAACGUUGGCAGUGGCAAAGUUUUUAUCGGUGGUUGCAAGAACAAACGAGCCCUAUAUUCCAAACAAAGUGCUUGAUUAACCUGGAGGUAGACUGUAUGAACUCUGUAUUAAUUUGUAAUGUUUUGUUGGGUCUCUGGACCGUAAUAAAGAUUGAUGAUGAUACAUAAAAGUGGCAAUAGAAUCAAAACCGUGCUUAAAAGGGGGGUAUUUUCAGUUUCCAGCACAUCUCCAAUUGCUAGGAGGUCAGAACACUCAGGAAAUAGGAGGUAGUACUCCUUUCCUGAGCUCUAAUGUUUCCUUUCAAUGGUGCUUUGCAAGCAGAGGUGACUUGUGCAAGGAAGAGGCACAACCAAUUUUGCCAUGGGCCUAAGCAACUUCAAGCAUCUUGAUAGGCCUGAUUUGGGCUGCGGAGGACGCUAGGAUUGCGUUUAGCCCCUAGAGCCCUCCGGCCUUAUAUAACUUCCUGUUGUCCUAACCCAUCACAUAAAUCAGGACAAAACCUCCUGAUGAUAGAUCCUGUUAUCUACGCAAGAGCUAUGCUUUCUUUCUAAAUGCCUUACAUCCAAGAGUUCUAACCACAGAGGGCCUUCUCGGUGGCUGCACCCCUGUUAUGAAACACCCUUCCAACAGGGAUCCUUUUAGCAUCUACAACACUGCCUUUAGCAGUAGGUAAACACUCCUGUUCAACCAAGCUUUCUGAUUAUUCUGUUCUGCAUUACUUAGAGGGCAUAUCUGUUAGCGUAGUUUGCUUAUGCUGGAACAGCUUUUUGUGUUGCUUUUAUUGCUCUUUUUGAGACAUUGUUCCUAAUCUGGUGAUGGUCAUUCUUGUUUUUGUUUGAAAAUGGUUCUUCUUUGCAUGAGCUGCCUUGAAUACUACUGUGUAUCAGAAAGACAGCACAAACAUACUGUCUGGUGGAUAGGAAAUAUUUGUUUUAUUUAGCAAAAUGUUAUACUGC